UCCUCCAAGUAGAGAUUUUAAUCCAAUGC
rnacentral:piRNA from 1 species